GAUUAAAAGUGAACCAGAUUCGCGACAGACUCGUCUUUGUUUGCUUAAUUAUCUGCCUAAUGCUUGUUAUCGUCCGAUGAGGGUUUUCUUCAUUCCAGUGUUAUAGAACAAGCAACAGGCUAACACCCAAAUUCUUCUUUUAAAUUUUUCUUAAUUGGGUCAUUUAGAAGCAGCUUUUAUUUUAGAUAGAUUUAUUUUUUUUUAUUUAUUUUUUUUUAAAAUCCGGAGCUAGAGAUCUGCAUAGCAUUCCUGUCUUGCAAAUUGUACUAGACGAACGAAUGAAUUUUGCCAUUACCACAGAUUUAAAUCAUUUGGCUUGAACCGGCUUAUACUUGAAAUGAGGAAUUGUCUUCGCCUUGAUAUGUCUCACAAAACAGGCAGAGGAAUCCAAGCGCGACUCAGUUGGCAUGGCGUUUGAAGAACGUUCCAACAUUUCGAAUAGUACGUAAGAAUUAUUUCUAUCACAUUUCAGUAUAACGAAGGCAUUUAGACUACUUGUUUCUGGAUCAUCACCGAAAAACUUUGUCCAUCGCUUAACGAAUGGCUAAGCCCUCUCGCACCAAUGAUUUAGAAAUCUCAAAUGCGGGAUAACAAAUGACUUUUUUUUUACAUGAAGACAGCAAAGGGAAAAUGGGAUAACAGAAAAAGUGAACUUAAAAAAAAUACAAUUUUCCUAUACAAAAGGGGCAGAUAAAAAAUUGUGAGAUCAAUAUUGAUAAAUUGGGAUCAUUAAUGAUGAAUUAGGAAAAUAAUCCCAGUAGGGGUCUAUGUCGCUGUAAUUCACCCUACACGUCGGUAAAAAUACAAAGUAAGAAAAGAAAACGAAAAACAACAACCAACAACCAGAUACUAAAAAUUCAAAUAGGUAAGGCUUUUAAUUGUAUUUGCUAGACGAAAUUGGGAUUGCGUUCACUGGGGAUCAAAAUAUGCAUAGCUGACAUUUCAAUCAAUUUUGGAAGACAAUGAAAAAUGGUUGUCAGUCAACAGAUCGUUAUUAAUGUCGGCCUAAUGGAUAUUUUCAAUCAGUUCUUGUUGACUGGAGGUUUGUUGGUAGACCAAGCAUCCCGCAACUGGUUUACGAUUAGGUUGGACCACUUCCAAACAAAAUAGGAGGAUUAGCCCCAAUAGAGUGCUCACAGCUAAGGUGCCCAAUAAUAUCAUUCUUCCUAGGAAGAAUGAGUCGAUGAUCUAAAUAUAAAUUUAAAUAUAUUAUUUGAGAGUGUGUUUUUUUUACACGAAUCUUCCAAAUUUACGUAUCUUACUCACGAUUUCAAAUUUGGACGAGCUGAUUUUGUUGAGGGGAUAGCCAUCGUCAUCCUGCUGGUCCGCCCGCGGGAGAGCCAAGAAUAUAGCAGUUAGGACGGCUGCCACGCAGGUAAAAAUUAGCGACAAGACAGUGCGGAUUCGGCAAAAGAUAACUAUCAGAGUCAAAGCGAUGAGCCACAGGACGAGGAUAAAAAAAACGCCCAAACCAACAUCGAAUCCAAACACACGGAUGGCCAUUGCUAUACCAAGUUAAUGCGUUGCAUGAGGCAGCCAAAAACAUUUGGCUCUGGCAUGUUUCGUUUGCUUUGUUCAUGGCUUUUUGUUGCCAUGGCAACGCAUGGAACAGACGUGGUCAUAAAAUGAGAGAAUGGAGUUACUCAUAGCAAAACAUUUGUUUAGUGCUACCGAUGGCGCCCUCACUUCCAUGGGGCCGUUACUGACAUAAAACGAAACGCAUAAUUAUCAAGAAAACCAUUUACCAUUCUUGGUGAUUGGCCAUUUACCAGGUAGAUCAGAAAUCGAACAAUUAGGCCAACUUUUUUCUUUUCUUUGUAAUGGUACCGACGUUCACACUAAACGAGACAACAGCUUUGUUCUAAGACAACGCUAGUGUCAAUCACUAAAUAUAGGAAAAGGCUGAUCUAACAACUGACUAGACGAUGAUUUGGUAAAAAUCGGUGAAAAUAUACAUACUCUUGAGAAAUUCACAAUGUCAUGUGCGUACAUAAAACAGCUGAUCUUAAAACCGUCCCUGUUUUCAAUAUCGUUGCCCGAUCGUUACGUCCCACUCCACGAGCCAGAGUGCUUUUUUUUCACGACGAAUGACAAUUUUCAUUGGUGGAAAAAGAAUGAACACUCCCAUGGGGCUCUAUCCCCUUUCAAACGAAGGGCAAUGAAAUAUCCGGUUCCAUCACUGGGUUCCAAACCCGGUUUACGCCAACGAUUACUCGAGCGAUUACUUCGUUUAUCCCGAUUUGUGCCCAGAAAUAUUAUCUUUCAUAUCUGGAUUUCAACCACGCUUUGUUAAUUGCCAUCCAAUUCAAUUCUGAACAUACUAGUCGUACUCGUACUCGAAGCAUCGGGCAUCGGGCUUAUAAGAAAAAAAUGCAUUUGACUAAAGGUUCAUGUUAAAUAUAAGAACUGCGGUCACCAAACUGGAUAAAAUAGUGGGACUUUAUAGUUAUUAGCAUGUUUGGAGCCAUCUUAUUUCACUAUUUAAUUUUGUAUUACAGGUAUAGGCUGUUAGACAUUUGGCAGUAGAGCAGUUCAUCUCAUACAUGCCAGGUUCAUCACUCACACUGUUUCUUUUCUGUGGGAUCCAUCACAAAAAGGGCGGCUAUUAGUUUGCUUGCAAUUGCAGAACCAGUACUCUUUUGUUUCUUCGGGGACAAAGCGAACUGGCCUUAACUUGAUAUUGAGAAAGGGGCUCUUGUGUGUGCCAUCACAAAAGGGCUGAGAAAUAAAAAUUAUGGGAUCUAA